rnacentral:tRNA from 1 species
GCAGUGGUAGUUCAGUGGUAGAAUUCUCGCCUUCUACAUAGGAGACCCAGGUUCGAAUCCUGGCUGAUACA